ACAACCGCUCCUUGUGAAAAUACAGAGUAGAGAAGAAAAAUGAUACUGAAUUAUGCUUCUUCUGCGUUUGUCCAAUGGAACAAAACUCCAAAGAAAAUGGUAUAUUUCUCUGCUUCUGCUGCUAAUUUAAAUACGGAGAAGCUUAGAGAGCAAUUAGACCAUCUUCACAAGGAAGCACAAACCACAAGAAAUAAAGCGAAUAGUGCAAGAUCGAGGCUACUUCGGUUGUCUGAAGCAGCGGAAAAAUUUCGGCGACAAGCAGCCGUUAGUAUUCAAACUGGAAAGGAGAAUGACGCCAGGGAGCUACUUUUUCAAAAGAAGAAGAUUAUGCAAGCCAUGGAGAAGUCAAAGAGCCGCAUUGAAUUGCUUGAUGAACUUGCGGCAAAGCUUAAUGAGGCAAUAUCUAUGAGGGAGAAGCAGUUAAUCGGAAAUGUUGCUUUUGACCUUGAUAUUGCUAUAGAUGAUGCCCCAAGUCCUGUUCGAAUAGUAUCUCCAAAGGAUGAAAAUCCAGAUAAUUCAGAUGAAAAUGAAGACUUUGACCAGGAAACUAUAAAAUUAGAUGAUAGCCAAGAAUUGCAAGCUCCCAAUGAUAAUAAUGCAGAACGUAUAACUGAUUAUGAAUUGAAAAAUCUCGAGGUAUCAACAAGUGGGAACAUGUCCAAGGAAGCCGACAAGAUCGAUAGUUUAAAGGGGGUAUCCUCAUAUGAGGAGUUUUUGGAACAUAUAGACCAACAACUAAGAGACAUUGAAGUAGAGCUUAUCACCUUUUUGAGAUUUUCAUCCUUAAUACUUGAAAGCAAAGAGAAACUAGAAAACUCAAAGGUACAGCAAGCACUGGACGUUCUGGAGGGUGUUCAUCAGCUUAGAGGGAGGUGAUGUAUAAGCAGAUCCAGAAGCGAAAUUGCAAGCAUAGUGCAGAAAAAAGCAGGUGUAAGUUGAAGCUUUCUUUCACUGUAUGCAAUUCCUGCAGUGGUCGAUGCUAAGGCAAAAGUUUAAGUGCGACUUCGGUAAGAUCCUGUGCGCUCUCUCAGAAGAUCAAGUUGCUGUAAGAUAAUAAGAUAUAUGCUUCGUGAACAACAGGAGAAAACUACAGCCUUCUUUCAAUGUAGUAAGUUUUCAACAGAUGCUGAUGUACAAGAUAUCAAACUGAUUGCUGAUUUACAAGAUGUCAUCUUUUCUUAUUUUCCUCAUCUUCUUGAACUUGGACAUGAUCUACUCUCAUUUACUGCAGCAGUAGAAUAUUACUUGGCACAUUUUCUGUGCUCUGAGAACACUAUAUAUGCUGUAACUUUAGUUUAGUUUAUAACUCAUCCUGUUGCUGAUAAAAGCUUGGCAGUUUUUCUCGUGAGAAUAUGCCGGAUAGGACAUCUGAUUGCAAAUAUCCUUUAAGGCGGGCUGUUUGCCAGUCUGAUUGAAGUUGGAAAGCAUAAAAAAGGUGCAAAACAUUGUCAUUGGAUAAACUUUAUCAGUGUAUUCAGGCAGGAAACUGAUAUGAUUUUUCAGUCAUCAAUUGGUUUCUAUAUCCACAUUCAGGUUAUUCAUAGUAAAUGUAGGUUACCUCUGUGCUUAUGUUGCCCAAACAAUUUGAUGAUAUGUUAUAAACCUUGUUUAAUCUCUUACUGA